UACGUAGGGGGCAAGCGUUAUCCGGAUUUACUGGGUGUAAAGGGAGCGCAGACGGCAGUGCAAGUCUGGAGUGAAAGCCCGGGGCCCAACCCCGGGACUGCUCUGGAAACUGUACGGCUAGAGUACGGGAGGGGCAGGCGGAAUUCCUAGUGUAGCGGUGAAAUGCGUAGAUAUUAGGAGGAACACCAGUGGCGAAGGCGGCCUGCUGGACGAUGACUGACGUUGAGGCUCGAAAGCGUGGGGAGCAAACAGG
rnacentral:rRNA from 1 species